rnacentral:rRNA from 1 species
CCCUUAGAUGUCCUGGGCUGCACGCGCGCUACACUGAUGUGUCCAGUAAGCACCUAACCUCUUCCGAAAGGAACGGGUAACCUUUGCAAAGCACAUCGUGAUGGGGAUAGAUUAUUGCAAUUAUUAGUCUUGAACGAGGAAUUCCUAGUAAGCACAAGUCAUCAGCUUGUGUUGAUUACGUCCCCGCCCUUUGUACACACCGCCCGUCGCUCCUACCGAUUGAAUGUUCCGGUGAGCUCUUCGGACUGCGCGGUCUGCAGUUUCUGCGUUCCGUGCGGAAAGUUGCGCAAACCUUAACAUUUAGAGGAAGGAGAAGUCGUAACA